rnacentral:rRNA from 1 species
UACGGGGGGGGCAAGCGUUGUUCGGAAUUACUGGGCGUAAAGGGCUCGUAGGCGGCCAACUAAGUCAGACGUGAAAUCCCUCGGCUUAACCGGGGAACUGCGUCUGAUACUGGGUGGCUUGAAUCCGGGAGAGGGAUGCGGAAUUCCAGGUGUAGCGGUGAAAUGCGUAGAUAUCUGGAGGAACACCGGUGGCGAAGGCAGGUCUCUGGGCCGAUACUGACGCUGAGGAGCGAAAGCGUGGGGAGCGAACAGG